rnacentral:rRNA from 1 species
UACGUAGGGUGCAAGCGUUAAUCGGAAUACUGGGCGUAAAGCGUGCGCAGGCGGUUUUGUAAGACUGUCGUGAAAUCCCCGGGCUCAACCUGGGAAUGGCGAUGGUGACUGCAAGGCUAGAGUUUGGCAGAGGGGGGUAGAAUUCCACGUGUAGCAGUGAAAUGCGUAGAUAUGUGGAGGAACACCGAUGGCGAAGGCAGCCCCCCUGGGUCAAGAUUGACGCUCAUGCACGAAAGCGUGGGGAGCAAACAGG